rnacentral:rRNA from 1 species
AUUGAACGCUGGCGGCAGGCCUAACACAUGCAAGUCGAGCGAGCGGCGGACGGGUGAGUAAUGUCUGGGGAUCUGCCCGCUAGAGGGGGAUAACUACUGGAAACGGUGGCUAAUACCGCAUACUAUCGGUUGAACCCAUAUGGGAUUAGCUAGUAGGUGGGGUAAAGGCUCACCUAGGCGACGAUCUCUAGCUGGUCUGAGAGGAUGAUCAGCAACACUGGUACUGAGACACGGCCCAGACUCCUACGGGAGGCAGCAGUGGGGAAUAUUGCACAAGGGGCGCAAGCCGGAUGCAGCCAUGCCGCGUGUAUGAAGAAGGCCUUAGGGUUGUAAAGUACUUUCAGCGGGGAGGCGGGAGACGAAGAAGAAGCACCGGCUAACUCCGUGCCAGUAGACGCGGUAAUAG